rnacentral:lncRNA from 1 species
CUACUGGGGAGGCUGAGGCAGGAGAAUCCCUUAAACCGGGGAGUUGGAUGUUGCAGUGAGCUGAGAUUGCGCCACAGCUCUCUAGCCUGGCGACAGAGUGAGCCUCCAUCUCAAAACAACAACAACAACAAAAACCAAAAGAAAUGAGGUUUAAUUGACUCACAGUUCCACAGGUUGUACAAGAGGUGUGACUGGGGAGGCCUCAGGAAGCUUACAAUCAUGGUGGAAGGAUGAAGGGGAAGCAAGCACGUCUUCACAUGGCAGUAGGCGGGAGAGUGAGUGAAGGGAGAAGUGCUACACACUUUCAAACAACCAGAUCUCAUGAAAACUCACUAUCACAAGAACAGCAAAAGGGAAAUCCACCCAUGAUCUAAUCAUCUCCCACCAGCUCCCUCUCGCAACAUUGGGAAUUACAGUUCAACAUGCGAUUUGGUGGGGACACAGAGCCAAACCAUAUCACACCCCAUUCAAAGCUAUGAGAUUAUAAAAUGGUCCUUCUCCUGUCACUCAGCUGACUGUAAAUUCAUGCUGGCACAUCCACACCACGGCAGACAGAAGACACUGCUUGGGAGUUCUGUUCUGUCAUCAACGGAGCUGUGAUGACCGUGGAUGUCACUGGUAGUGGCCAACAUUUCUGCAGCUCCUUCUCAGUUACAUCCUCAACACAAACUCCUCACCAGGUGGCAGAAGUGGAAGAAGCUGAGAUGUGGCUGUGAGUCCUGACUUCACUGCUGUCCAGCGGAAAGAGUCUGAGCAGUCUAAACCCGAGGUUUCGCCAGUGUGAAAUGGGGCUAAUUAUAUAGACAUAUGGGUUUUACAAAGUUUUGACAAAUCAGAACUUUUGUUUUAUAUGCUGGGUUGAAAUCAAGGACCUGCUGGGUCUGUUCCUGCUACUUGUGGUUGGGUGGGGGAACAGAGGAUAGAGAAGAAACUGUUCAUCUCAGGUUGGAACGUGCCAGGUCUUCA